GCCUGGGUAGCUCAGUCGGUAGAGCAUCAGACUUUUAAUCUAGAAGUCCAGGGUUCAAGUCCCUUUUCAAGUG